GACGAACGCUGGAGGCGUGCUUAACACAUGCAAGUCGAACGAUGAAAUGGAGCUUGCUCCAUGGAUUAGUGGCGAACGGGUGAGUAACACGUGAAUAACCUGCCCUUAAUUUUGGAAUAACCCAGGGAAACCUGGGCUAAUACCGGAUAAGUAAACCUGUGGCAUCACAUGGUUUUGGAAAGUUUUUCGAUUAAGGAUGGAUUCGCGGCCUAUCAGCUUGUUGGUGGGGUAAUGGCUCCCCAAGGCGACGACGGGAAGCCGGCCUGAGAGGUGAACGGCCACACUGGGACUGAGACACGGCCCAGACUCCUACGGGAGGCAGCAGUGGGGAAUAUUGCGCAAUGGACGAAAGUCUGACGCAGCGACGCCUCGUGAGGGACGAAGGUCUUCGGAUUGUAAACCUCUUUCAGCAGGGACGAAGCGAAAGUGACGGUACCUGCAGAAGAAGCACCGGCUAACUAUGUGCCAGCCGCCGCCGUAA
rnacentral:rRNA from 1 species